CGGCGAGGCCGUUGGAGCCUUGGGGCGAAAAAUAAACGAAGCUGCGUGCGUUACUCCUGAGGCUCCAUAAAAUACCGACGCCAUGUUUUCCCCCAACAGAGCAGUCACGGAGCGCUGAGAGAGAGAGAGCGGCGGAGAAGGAGGGAAAAGGAGGGACCACGGCAGGCACCCUUCAAGAUGGCGGAGCGUCAGCGAAGCUCGGGAUCACGACUCUUGAAAGCCUGUACCUGCCGACCAGACAACGCAGUGGCAUGAAUCACAGUACAGGGGAAAAGUCAUGCUGACAUUAAAGCAGCGAUUAGGCGCGCGAGGCCUUCGGAGAGUUCGGGCACUUCUGCGUUGACUGGACUUGCAUCUUGGGAAAGCAGACGACGAGACAGGCAUUCAUCGUUCAUCCCAACGCAAGACUCAUCUCGCACGAGCCAUUCGUAAUCUACCCUGUGGAACCGGGCUUUUGUAGACUAGUCCUUUGUCAGAAGCUCGUUUCUACAGGUAUCUUGCGAACUCAGCUGCCAGCAGCUAGAACUGUCGUCAGCGUUCGUCGUCGGAGACGGUUCCGUGACAGUGAACUUUUGAAAAAGACACACAAGGGAAAACGGUCAUGGAAAAUCUAUUGACGCACGAUGUAAUGUGACAUCAUAGACGGCCGCUUCACUCCUCCGUGCAGCUACCUUGGAAGAGGACACGUGACCUGAGGGGAAUGUCUGGGACACGCGUUCCUCUGUUCACGCCAUGGUUCGUUGUGCUCGAGAAUCUGGGCCGGGUACCGAAAUAACACAGUACCAAAAUAAACUCCGGAAACACUCGUGCAGAAAUAACGUAUUCCCACAAUUCUCGUUUCAAAAUAACAAAUCCUAGUUUAACGUGAAUGAGAAUACUACAGUUCGGAAAUAACUCGGUACCAAAAUAAACUCCCGAAACACAGGUUCGAAUAUGAACAUCGUGCGAAAACGCGCUGGCCGGCAAACCUUCAUCCUCUACAAAGCAUGCGAAGAGCGCACUGAACGCGAUGGGGAACUGAACAUCGCUGCCGCCACCUUCCUAAGGGAAAGAACGAAAAUGGUGAAGGAAAUUCCGCCCUCAUAAAUUUGGAGCUAGGUUUUUGGGAGGUCACGCGGUAUAUCGUUCAGUACAUUAUUUCCUUGCAUCCACAGUCCCCUAGAAACGUGGCUGCCUCGUUUUGGCUGCUUCAGCCACCCCACCCCCUCCCCAAAUGUAGGUGAUGAAAAAAAUUUCAGUACCACAUUAUCAUUGUUUUCUUGUCGAUACCGCACUGCUGAAUGCGAGAUGAACAUCGUGAAUUCACAUCCUGCGGGUUUUCUCUCACUCCCAUUUUGCACUUUGGUGAAUAAAGUACUCUUAUUACUUUUA